rnacentral:rRNA from 1 species
GACGAACGCUGGCGGCGUGCCUAAUACAUGCAAGUAGAACGCUGAAGAGAGGAGCUUGCUCUUCUUGGAUGAGUUGCGAACGGGUGAGUAACGCGUAGGUAACCUGCCUUGUAGCGGGGGAUAACUAUUGGAAACGAUAGCUAAUACCGCAUAACAAUGGAUGACACAUGUCAUUUAUUUGAAAGGGGCAAUUGCUCCACUACAAGAUGGACCUGCGUUGUAUUAGCUAGUAGGUGAGGUAAUGGCUCACCUAGGCGACGAUACAUAGCCGACCUGAGAGGGUGAUCGGCCACACUGGGACUGAGACACGGCCCAGACUCCUACGGGAGGCAGCAGUAGGGAAUCUUCGGCAAAGGGGGCAACCCUGACCGAGCAACGCCGCGUGAGUGAAGAAGGUUUUCGGAUCGUAAAGCUCUGUUGUAAGUCAAGAACGGGUGUGAGAGUGGAAAGUUCACACUGUGACGGUAGCUUACCAGAAAGGGACGGCUAACUACGU